rnacentral:rRNA from 1 species
CACGUAGGGGGCAAGCGUUGUCCGGAUUUAUUGGGCGUAAAGAGCUCGUAGGCGGCUUAGUAAGUCGGGUGUGAAACCUCCAGGCUCAACCUGGAGACGCCACCCGAUACUGCUGUGGCUAGAGUCCGGUAGGGGAGCGUGGAAUUCCUGGUGUAGCGGUGAAAUGCGCAGAUAUCAGGAGGAACACCAGCGGCGAAGGCGGCGCUCUGGGCCGGUACUGACGCUGAGGAGCGAAGCGUGGGGAGCAAACAGG